rnacentral:rRNA from 1 species
CAGUCGCCGCGGUAAUACGAAGGGUGCAAGCGUUACUCGGAAUUACUGGGCGUAAAGCGUGCGUAGGUGGUGGUUUAAGUCCGUUGUGAAAGCCCUGGGCUCAACCUGGGAAUUGCAGUGGAUACUGGGUCACUAGAGUGUGGUAGAGGAUAGUGGAAUUUCCGGUGUAACAGUGAAAUGCGUAGAGAUCGGAAGGAACAUCUGUGGCGAAGGCGACUAUCUGGGCCAACACUGACACUGAGGCACGAAAGCGUGGGGAGCAAACAGGAUUAGAUACCCCCGUAGUCCCUGUCUCUUAUAC